GAUGAACGCUGGCGGCGUGCCUAACACAUGCAAGUCGAGCGUGAACCCUGCGAAUGAAACUUCGGUCGAUUUUGCAGGGGGAAAGCGGCGGACGGGUGAGUAACGCGUAGGUAACCUGCCCCAUACUGAGGGAUAGCCUCGGGAAACCGGGAUUAAUACCUCAUAACACCGUAUAUUCGCAUGGAUGUGCGGUCAAAGAUUUAUCGGUAUGGGAUGGGCCUGCGUCUGAUUAGCUGGUUGGUGGGGUAAUGGCCUACCAAGGCGAAGACGGGUAGCCGGUCUGAGAGGAUGGCCGGCCACACUGGAACUGAGACACGGUCCAGACUCCUACGGGAGGCAGCAGUGGGGAAUCUUGGGCAAUGGGGGGGACCCUGACCCAGCGACGCCGCGUGAGGGACGAAGGUUUUCGGAUCGUAAACCUCUGUUGUACGGGAAGAAGGAUGUGACGGUACCGUACGAGUAAGCCCCGGCAAACUACGUG
rnacentral:rRNA from 1 species